rnacentral:lncRNA from 1 species
AGGCCGAGAAGGGCCUCAUCCGAGGCGAAAACAGAGGGGGAGUGCGACGGUGCCGCUGGGCUUCAGCUGAGUUUUUCGACCGUUUAGCCGGUGGUUUGGCUCCGGUUUAGCCAUAGACGAAUUCAGCAUCGAAAAACGAGCCAGGAAGAGAAAAUUUACCUCGAUCGGCGGUCGGAAACUUCCCCGGUGCGGCGACGGGUGGCAGCGGCCGGCUCCUCCGGCGUCUGGUUCUUCUUCUCCGGUGAGGCACUGGCGGCUAGGGUUUUGUGGUCAGGUGUGGGUGGGAUUAUUUAUACCAUUUGCCUUUUAAUCU